rnacentral:lncRNA from 1 species
GGAGGAUCUUGAUCUCUACGCUAGAGAUCAUGAGAAGAACCCUUUCUUCUCUUUUCUUCCUAAAAUUCAUGCACCAUAUCUCUGCAAUAGAGAUGUAAAAAUUUUAUCUAACUUUUAGACAAAGGGAAGAAGAGACAUCCAUGUUUAGACAUGGACAAGAGAGAGGAGACAAGAUGUUCUAACAACCAACAAUUGGUUGUUGCAAGAAAGAAGAGAUCAAAACCAUAACUAACCUCACGCCAAGAACCUAUUUACCAUCCCCUUAUUUUUUUCUUGUUUUUCUCC